GGAAUGGCGUUACUGCCUGCUUGAUGUUAGGACUGAUUUCAGUGGAGGGAGGGAGGCUGCAAAAAGGAGGCCCAAGUCCUCGGGAAGAUGAGAUAAGCAGAGAAUCGCAGCCAGGUAGGGGAGGGGGACAGAGGCCCCACAGUCAGAAGAGUCAGGCCCCGGGAAGCUGCAAGACCCCGCCUGCUGCCAUCACGGUGAAAAUGGGCUACAUCUGGACUCCAGGAGCGGCUCUGCAGGGUGCCAACAUCUAUUAAGGGCUGAAAAGACGGAAGUUUUGAGUGAAGACCUUCUUCAGGUGGAGAAGCGUCUGGAGCUGGUGAAACAGGUGUCCCACAGCACGCACAAGAAGCUCACCGCAUGUCUGCAGGGCCAGCAAGGGGCAGAGGCUGACAAGCGCUCCAAAAAGUUGCCUUUGACAACACUGGCUCAGUGUCUGAUGGAGGGGUCAGCUAUCCUGGGAGAUGACACACUUCUUGGGAAGAUGCUGAAACUCUGUGGAGAGACAGAGGACAAGCUGGCUCAGGAGCUGAUACAUUUUGAGUUGCAAGUAGAGAGAGACGUGAUUGAGCCCCUGUUUUUGCUGGCGGAGGUGGAAAUCCCAAAUAUUCAAAAGCAGAGGAAACACUUAGCCAAGUUGGUGCUGGACAUGGAUUCCUCACGAACCAGGUGGCAGCAGACUUCCAAGUCUUCAGGUUUGUCCAGCAGCUUACAGCCUGCGGGUGCCAAGGCUGAUGCCCUCAGGGAAGAAAUGGAAGAGGCUGCCAACAGAGUGGAGAUUUGCAGGGUACCUGCCCUCUUUGCUCCUCUCUACUGGGACAGGCUGGGGAGCCCUCAGGGAUUCCCUUUUUGUUCACUGGAGUUCUCUUAAAACUCUGUCAGUGAGCCUCUAGUUGAACUGAAUGUCCCCAAGCCCGCCGGCUAGCAUCUCCAAGGAGUCCAGGAUGAACCCAAGGAGUUGGGGCUUUGAUGGUGACCUAGACAGGGAGGCAGCAUUCAGUUAUCAUUGGUGGUCCUGCAUGCUAGGCAAAGAGAAAUGACCUUUAUUUUUGUGUGAAGCUUUUGUAAAUCAUCUGAGUCCCAAAGAAUAAAUUCUAGGUGACACAGGACAGUUGAGAAUUU
rnacentral:sRNA from 1 species